UCAACGUACGAAAAAAAAUUGAUUUCAAGUUAUAAUUUCGCUAUAUAAGAGUAUUAAGUUAAUUUAUGUGUCUUGUGUAUAUAGUUGUGACUCGGUCAGUAGUUUUUUUUUCUUCUGUUUCUUCUUCUUCAGUUUCCAUUAUAAUUUCUCUUCAAUUUUCUCGUUGCAUUACGUAACCUCGUAAACCAGUUUUGAUUGCGCCCCGUUUUUUUUUUUUCUUCUCUUUGCUGCGUUGUUGUAAUUACUACUUGAAAUUUUUCGUUCUGCAAGAAAAGAAUCAAAUCUUUUUGACUGCACAACAGAAUGUGAAAUGAAAACGAACAACAAAAUUCUGACGAAUUGAAAAACCAUCACUAACUUAAUUGGAACUGCAACGGAAUUGUUACGGAAAUUAUGAUGGAAC